UUUGAAAUCUGGUAGCCUUCGGUUGCCCGAGUUGUAAUCUAGAGAAGUGUUUUCCGUGCCGGCCCAUGUACAAGUCCCUUGGAACAGGGCGUCAUAGAGGGUGAGAAUCCCGUCCUUGACAUGGACCCCCGGUGCUUUGUGAUACACUUUCAACGAGUCGAGUUGUUUGGGAAUGCAGCUCAAAAUGGGUGGUGAAUUCCAUCUAAAGCUAAAUAUUGGCGAGAGACCGAUAGCGAACAAGUACCGUGAGGGAAAGAUGAAAAGCACUUUGGAAAGAGAGUUAAACAGUACGUGAAAUUGUUGAAAGGGAAACGAUUGAAGUCAGUCAUGCUCUUGGGACUUACCUCCCUUGAGUGGGGUCAACAUCAGUUUUGAUCGAUGGAUAAAGGCACUAGGAAGGUAGCACUCUCGGGUGAACUUAUAGCCUAGCGUCAUAUACAUUGAUUGGGACUGAGGAACGCAGCAUGCCUUUUGGCCGGGAUUCGUCCACGUACAUGCUUAGGAUGUUGACAUAAUGGCUUUAAACGACCCGUCUUGA
rnacentral:rRNA from 1 species